rnacentral:rRNA from 1 species
AGAGUUUGAUCCUGGCUCAGGAUGAACGCUAGCGGAACGCCUAACACAUGCAAGUCGAACGAGUUUUUAUUUGUAGCAAUACAUUUAAAAAUUAGUGGCAAACGAGCGAGUAAUGCGUACUUAACCUGCCCUUGAGUUGAGAACAACUACAGAGAUGUAGCUAAUUCUCAAUAUUCUCUAGAAAAUGAAAAUAUCUAGAGGAAAGAUUUAUCGCUCAAGGAGGGGGGUGCGUCCUAUCAGGUAGUUGGUGAGGUAACUGCUCACCAAGCCUAUGACGGGUAGCCGGUCUGAGAGGAUGUCCGGCCGCGAUGGAACUGAGAUACGGUCCAUACUCCUACGGGAGGCAGCAGUGGGGAAUCUUGCACAAUGGACGAAAGUCUGAUGCAGCGAUUCCGCGUGGAGGAUGAAGCAUCAUGGUGUGUAAACUCCUUUUCUGGUAGAAGACGAAUGACGGUAUACCAGGAAUAAGGGACGGCUAACUACGUGCCAGCAGCCGCGGUAAUACGUAGGUCCCAAGCGUUAUCCGGAGUAACUGGGCGUAAAGUGUCCGUAGCCUGAUAUUUAAGUCUGUUUUCAAAUAUCUCAGCUCAACUGAGAGAAGGGAAUAGAUACUGGAUAUCUGGAGGUUGUUAGAGGUUAAUGGAAUUUCCGGUGGAGCGGUGAAAUGCGUUGAUAUCGGAAAGAAUGCCGAAAGCGAAAGCAGUUAACUAUAACAAACCUGACGGUGAGGGACGAAAGCUUGGGGAGCAAACGGGAUUAGAUACCCCGGUAGUCCAAGCUGUAAAUUAUGUCUGCUAGGUGUUUUCUCCAGUUUACUGGGGGGAGUGCCGUAAUCUAACGAGUUAAGCAGAUCGCCUGGGUAGUAUAUUCGCAAGAAUGAAACUCAAAGGGAUAGGCGGGGGAACACACAAGCAGUGGAUUGUCUAGAUUAAUUGGAUAAUAAGCCAAGAAUCUUACCUAGAUUUGACAUGCAUUAUGUCUACGGUGAAAGCCGUAUAUUCGUAGCAAUACGAAGUUUUGCACAGGUGGUGCAUGGCCGUCGUCAGCUCGUGCCGCAAGGUGUCUAGUUAAGUCUAGCAACGAGCGCAACCCUCAUCUUUAGUUAGAAUGUCUAAAGAGACUGCCUGGGUAACCAGGAGGAAGGAGAGGAUGACGUCAGAUCCUCAUGCCCCUUACAUCUAGGGCUUCAUAGACAAUACAAUGGGUAGGUACAGCGAGAAGCAAAAUCGCAAGAUUGAGCAAAUCUUCAAAACUACCCCUAGUUCGGAUUGUAGUCUGGAACUCGACUACAUGAAGUUGGAAUUGCUAGUAAUGGCGAAUCAGCUAUGUCGCCGUGAAUAUGUCCCUGUUCCUUGCACUCA